AUUGAACGCUGGCGGCAUGCCUUACACAUGCAAGUCGAACGGUAACGCGGGGCAACCUGGCGACGAGUGGCGAACGGGUGAGUAAUGCAUCGGAACGUGCCCGGUAGUGGGGGAUAACUGCUCGAAAGAGCAGCUAAUACCGCAUACGACCUGAGGGUGAAAGGGGGGGAUCGCAAGACCUCUCGCUAUCGGAGCGGCCGAUGUCGGAUUAGCUAGUUGGUGGGGUAAAGGCCUACCAAGGCAACGAUCCGUAGCUGGUCUGAGAGGACGACCAGCCACACUGGGACUGGGACACGGCCCAGACUCCUACGGGAGGCAGCAGUGGGGAAUUUUGGACAAUGGACGCAAGUCUGAUCCAGCCAUGCCGCGUGCGGGAAGAAGGCCUUCGGGUUGUAAACCGCUUUUGUCAGGGAAGAAAUCUUCUGGGUUAAUACCUCGGGAGGAUGACGGUACCUGAAGAAUAAGCACCGGCUAACUACGUGCCAGCCGCCGCCGUAAAAC
rnacentral:rRNA from 1 species